ACGCUCGACACCUACGGGGGGCAGCAGUGGGGAAUAUUGCACAAUGGGGGAAACCCUGAUGCAGCGACGCCGCGUGGAGGAAGAAGGUCUUCGGAUUGUAAACUCCUGUUGUUGGGGAAAAAGAGGAUGGUACCCAACAAGGAAGUGACGGCUAACUACGUGCUAGCAGCCGCGGUAAUCUGAGCGGGCUGGCAAGGC
rnacentral:rRNA from 1 species